GAUGAACGCUGGCGGCGUGCCUAAUACAUGCAAGUCGAGCGAACAGACGAGGAGCUUGCUCCUCUGACGUUAGCGGCGGACGGGUGAGUAACACGUGGAUAACCUACCUAUAAGACUGGGAUAACUUCGGGAAACCGGAGCUAAUACCGGAUAAUAUAUUGAACCGCAUGGUUCAAUAGUGAAAGACGGUUUUGCUGUCACUUAUAGAUGGUUCCGCGCCGCAUUAGCUAGUUGGUAAGGUAACGGCUUACCAAGGCGACGAUGCGUAGCCGACCUGAGAGGGUGAUCGGCCACACUGGAACUGAGACACGGUCCAGACUCCUACGGGAGGCAGCAGUAGGGAAUCUUCCGCAAAGGGCGAAAGCCUGACGGAGCAACGCCGCGUGAGUGAUGAAGGUCUUCGGAUCGUAAAACUCUGUUAUUAGGGAAGAACAAAUGUGUAAGUAACUAUGCACGUCUUGACGGUACCUAAUCAGAAAGCCACGGCUAACUACGUG
rnacentral:rRNA from 1 species